GAUGAACGCUAGCUACAGGCUUAACACAUGCAAGUCGAGGGGUAACAAGAGGAAAGCUUGCUUUCCUUGUUGACGACCGGCGCACGGGUGAGUAACGCGUAUCCAACCUGCCUAUAACUAGGGAAUAACCUUGCGAAAGUAAGACUAAUACCCUAUGAUUUCCUUUGAUGACAUCAGAUUAGGAAUAAAGAUUUAUCGGUUAUAGAUGGGGAUGCGUAUGAUUAGCUUGUUGGCGGGGUAACGGCCCACCAAGGCAACGAUCAGUAGGGGUCCUGAGAGGAAGGGACCCCACAAUGGAACGGAGACACGGUCCAAACUGCUACGGGAGGCAGCAGUGAGAAAUAGUGGUCGAUGGGCGGAAGCCUGAACCAGCCAAGUAGCGUGCAGGAUGACGGCACUAUUGGUUGUAAACUGCUUUUAUACAGGAAUAAAGUUAGCCACGUGUGGUUAUUUGUAGGUACUGUAUGAAUAAGGACCGGCUAAUUCCGUGCCGGCAGCCGCGGUAA
rnacentral:rRNA from 1 species